rfam:Serendipita vermifera MAFF 305830 unplaced genomic scaffold scaffold_150, whole genome shotgun sequence.
AGGGAUAUGCUGGAAUUUGGUAGUCAGGUGCCCCUUAGGAGGGUAUGGUUUUACUGUAAGGGUUCAAGUCCCUUUAUCCCUA